rnacentral:rRNA from 1 species
GGGUCAGUAGGUUGGUCGUGCCACCGGUACGUACUGGUCUCACUGAUUCCUCCUUCCUGAAGAACCGUAAUGCCAUUAAUUUGGUGUUGCGGGGAAGCAGGACUGUUACUUCGAAAAAAUUAGAGUGUUUAAAGCAAGCUAACGCUUGAAUACAUUAGCAUGGAAUAAUGGAAUAGGACGAUCGAUCCUAUUUUGUUGGUUUCUAGGAUUGACGUA